UACGGAGGAUGCAAGCGUUAUCCGGAAUGAUUGGGCGUAAAGCGUCCGCAGGUGGCAAUGUAAGUCUGCUGUCAAAGCGUCUGGCUCAACCAGAUAAAGGCAGUGGAAACUACAUAGCUAGAGUAAGGUAGGGGUAGAGGGAAUUCCUGGUGUAGCGGUGAAAUGCGUAGAGAUCAGGAAGAACACCGGUGGUGAAGGCGCCACUCUGGGCCGUAACUGACGCUGAGGAGCGAAAGCGUGGGUAGCAAACAGG
rnacentral:rRNA from 1 species